UCGCCUGAGAUCAAAAGAUGAGAUUCAGAGCACUCUAAGUAACUCUGGUGUACACAGCCGCACUAUGCGGUGGCCAAGGGUUUCUUCUCCUCCCUGUGCUGCUCACUCCGCUCACUGUCAGAAAGUCUGUCAGAGGCACAACAGUCAGCAAUUACAGGUUGUCUACUUCUGAUUUAGUCUUCACAGGCUGCCCCACCACAGAGGAACUGGAAAUUACUGAGAAAGAAGAGCAAGAAACUCCACUGAACUCCUGUUAACACUAAUUAGAGUUGCCAGCAUGCAGUGGAAUCAAAGGCGAAACAUGUGGAGCUCCCACUGAAGUUAAGAGGAGAAGGGUAUGACUUAAAGGAGAGGCAUGCAAAUUAAAAAUAAAUGUGGUUCAAUGUUACCAAAUGA